rnacentral:rRNA from 1 species
CGGAGGCGACCGCUAUUGGAGUUCGAUUAAGCCAUGCGAGUAGAAAGAAAUUAGAUUCUUUGCAUACUGCUCAGCAACACGUGGAUAACCUGCCCUACACUGGGGGAUAAUCUUGGGAAACUGAGGAUAAUACCCCAUAGACCACUACGCCUGGAACGGUGAGUGGUUGAAAGCUCCGGCGGUGUAGGAUGGGUCCGCGGCGUAUCAGGUCGUAGGGGGUGUAACGGACCUCCUAGCCAUCGACGCGUACGGGUUGUGGGAGCAAUAGCCCGGAGACGGAUUCUGAGACACGAAUCCGGACCCUACGGGGUGCAGCAGGCGCGAAAAACUUCACACUGCAGGAAACUGUGAUGAGGGAACUCCAAGUGCAUGCACAAUGUGUAUGCUUUUCUUGAAUCUUAAUAGUUCUUGGAAUAAGGGCUGGGAAAGACCGGUGCCAGCCGCCGCGGUAAUACCGGCAGCUCAAGUGGUCGUCGUUCUUAUUGGGCCUAAAACGUCCGUAGCCUGUUUGGUAAAUCUGUGGGUAAAUCAACGAGCUCAACUCGUUGAAUUCUGCAGAGACUGCCAGACUAGGGACCGGGAGAGGUAUGAGGUACUCUGGGGGUAGGGGUAAAAUCCUGUCAUCCUCAGAGGACCACCUGUUGCGAAGGCGUCAUACUGGAACGGAUCCGACGGUCAGGGACGAAGCCUAGGGGCACGAACCGGAUUAGAUACCCGGGUAGUCCUAGGUGUAAACGCUGUGGAUUUGGUGUGUGGGGUCCAUCAAGGGCCCCAUGUGCCGGAGUGAAGAUGUUAAAUCCACUGCCUGGGGAGUACGGUCGCAAGGCUGAAACUUAAAGGAAUUGGCGGGG